rnacentral:rRNA from 1 species
GCAAGUCGUGGGGUAACAUAGUGCCUUGCUGCUGAUGACGACCGGCGCACGGGUGCGUAACGCGUUUACAAUCUACCCUUUACUGGGGGAUAGCCCGAAGAAAUUUGGAUUAAUACCUCAUAGUAUGUUAUAAUGGCAUCGUUAUUUUUUUAAAGUUGGCGGUUAAAGAUGGGAUGCGUGAUAUUAGUUUGAUGGUGUGGUAACGGCACACCAUGGCAACGAUGGCUAGGGGCUCUGAGAGGAGGAUC